rnacentral:rRNA from 1 species
UUUACGGGAGGCAGCAGUGAGGAAUAUUGGACAAUGGAGGCAACUCUGAUCCAGCCAUGCCGCGUGCAGGAAGACUGCCCUAUGGGUUGUAAACUGCUUUUAUACAGGAAGAAACCUACUUACGCGUAAGUAGCUGACGGUACUGUAAGAAUAAGGAUCGGCUAACUCCGUGCCAGCAGCCGCGGUAAU